rnacentral:rRNA from 1 species
CUGGCUCAGGACGAACGCUGGCGGCGUGCCUAAUACAUGCAAGUCGAGCGAGCGGAACUAACAGAUUUACUUCGGUAAUGACGUUAGGAAAGCGAGCGGCGGAUGGGUGAGUAACACGUGGGGAACCUGCCCCAUAGUCUGGGAUACCACUUGGAAACAGGUGCUAAUACCGGAUAAGAAAGCAGAUCGCAUGAUCAGCUUUUAAAAGGCGGCGUAAGCUGUCGCUAUGGGAUGGCCCCGCGGUGCAUUAGCUAGUUGGUAAGGUAAAGGCUUACCAAGGCGAUGAUGCAUAGCCGAGUUGAGAGACUGAUCGGCCACAUUGGGACUGAGACACGGCCCAAACUCCUACGGGAGGCAGCAGUAGGGAAUCUUCCACAAUGGACGCAAGUCUGAUGGAGCAACGCCGCGUGAGUGAAGAAGGUUUUCGGAUCGUAAAGCUCUGUUGUUGGUGAAGAAGGAUAGAGGUAGUAACUGGCCUUUAUUUGACGGUAAUCAACCAGAAAGUCACGGCUAACUACGUGCCAGCAGCCGCGGUAAUACGUAGGUGGCAAGCGUUGUCCGGAUUUAUUGGGCGUAAAGCGAGCGCAGGCGGAAGAAUAAGUCUGAUGUGAAAGCCCUCGGCUUAACCGAGGAACUGCAUCGGAAACUGUUUUUCUUGAGUGCAGAAGAGGAGAGUGGAACUCCAUGUGUAGCGGUGGAAUGCGUAGAUAUAUGGAAGAACACCAGUGGCGAAGGCGGCUCUCUGGUCUGCAACUGACGCUGAGGCUCGAAAGCAUGGGUAGCGAACAGGAUUAGAUACCCUGGUAGUCCAUGCCGUAAACGAUGAGUGCUAAGUGUUGGGAGGUUUCCGCCUCUCAGUGCUGCAGCUAACGCAUUAAGCACUCCGCCUGGGGAGUACGACCGCAAGGUUGAAACUCAAAGGAAUUGACGGGGGCCCGCACAAGCGGUGGAGCAUGUGGUUUAAUUCGAAGCAACGCGAAGAACCUUACCAGGUCUUGACAUCUAGUGCCAUUUGUAGAGAUACAAAGUUCCCUUCGGGGACGCUAAGACAGGUGGUGCAUGGCUGUCGUCAGCUCGUGUCGUGAGAUGUUGGGUUAAGUCCCGCAACGAGCGCAACCCUUGUUAUUAGUUGCCAGCAUUAAGUUGGGCACUCUAAUGAGACUGCCGGUGACAAACCGGAGGAAGGUGGGGAUGACGUCAAGUCAUCAUGCCCCUUAUGACCUGGGCUACACACGUGCUACAAUGGGCAGUACAACGAGAAGCGAGCCUGCGAAGGCAAGCGAAUCUCUGAAAGCUGUUCUCAGUUCGGACUGCAGUCUGCAACUCGACUGCACGAAGCUGGAAUCGCUAGUAAUCGCGGAUCAGCACGCCGCGGUGAAUACGUUCCCGGGCCUUGUACACACCGCCCGUCACACCAUGGGAGUCUGCAAUGCCCAAAGCCGGUGGCCUAACCUUCGGGAAGGAGCCGUCUAAGGCAGGGCAGAUGACUGGGGUGAAGUCGU